rnacentral:rRNA from 1 species
AUUGAACGCUGGCGGCAUGCUUUACACAUGCAAGUCGAACGGCAGCGCGGGCUUCGGCCUGGCGGCGAGUGGCGAACGGGCGAGUAAUACAUCGGAACGUGCCCAGUAGUGGGGGAUAGCUCGGCGAAAGCCGGAUUAAUACCGCAUACGACCUGAGGGUGAAAGCGGGGGAUCUUCGGACCUCGCGCUAUUGGAGCGGCCGAUGGCAGAUUAGCUAGUUGGUGGGGUAAAGGCCUACCAAGGCGACGAUCUGUAGCUGGUCUGAGAGGACGACCAGCCACACUGGGACUGAGACACGGCCCAGACUCCUACGGGAGGCAGCAGUGGGGAAUUUUAGACAAUGGGCGAAAGCCUGAUCCAGCAAUGCCGCGUGGGUGAUGAAGGCCUUCGGGUUGUAAAGCACUUUUGGCGGGAACGAAAAGGACUGUGCCAAUACCACGGUUCGAUGACGGUACCCGCAGAAUAAGCACCGGCUAACUACGU